AGCAGCCGCGGUAAUUCCAGCUCCAAUAGCGUAUAUUAAAGUUGUUGCAGUUAAAAGCUCGUAGUUGGAUUUCGGGAUUGACACAUCGGUCGUGCCUUAAGGGGUAUGAACUGGUGUAGUCAAUUUCUCACCUUCUGGAGAACCGCGAUGCCCUUAAUUGGGUGCCGCGGGGAACCAGGACCUUUACUUUGAAAAAUUAGAGUGUUUAAAGCAGGCAUUUUGCUUGAAUACAUUAGCAUGGAAUAAUAAAAUAGGACGGCAUGAUUCUAUUUUGUUGGUUUCUAGGAUCACCGUAAUGAUUAAUAGGGAUAGUUGGGGGCAUUAGUAUUCAAUUGUCAGAGGUGAAAUUCUUGGAUUUAUUGAAGACUAACUACUGCGAAAGCAUUUGCCAAGGAUGUUUUCAUUAAUCAAGAACGAAAGUUAGGGAUCGAAGACGAUCAGAUACCGUCGUAGUCUUAACCAUAAACUAUGCCGACUAGGAAUCAGACGAUGUUAAUUUUUAAUGUACUUCGUUUGGCUA
rnacentral:misc_RNA from 1 species